rnacentral:rRNA from 1 species
GACGAACGCUGGCGGCGUGCUUAACACAUGCAAGUCGAACGAGAAGUUCGGGCGUAGUGGCGCGGGCGUACGUAACGAUUGGGAACGUGCCCUUGGGUUGGGAAUCACUGCCAGCCUGGGGCGUUAAGGCCGGUUACUGUUGUAGGAGAAAAGAAUUACCGCCUUGGGAUGGGCCCGCGUUGGGUUAGGUGGUUGGUAGGGUAAAAGCCUACCAAGGCGACGAUUCAUAGCUGGUCUGAGAGGAGGACCAGGCACACUGGGACUGAGACACGGCCCAGACUCCUACGGGAGGCAGCAGUGGGGAAUAUUGGACAAUGGGCGAAAGCCUGAUCCAGCAAUGCCGCGUGAGUGAUGAAGUCCUUAGGUAUGUAAAGCUCUUUUACCCGGGAUGAUAAUGACAGUACCGGGAGAAGAAGCCCCGGCUAACUACGUG